UACGGGGGGGGCAAGCGUUGUUCGGAAUUACUGGGCGUAAAGGGCGCGUAGGCGGCCUACUAAGUCGGACGUGAAAUCCCUCGGCUCAACCGGGGAACUGCGUCCGAUACUGGUGGGCUCGAAUCCGGGAGAGGGAUGUGGAAUUCCAGGUGUAGCGGUGAAAUGCGUAGAUAUCUGGAGGAACACCGGUGGCGAAGGCGGCAUUCUGGACCAAUACUGACGCUGAGGAGCGAAAGCCAGGGGAGCAAACGGG
rnacentral:rRNA from 1 species